GACGAACGCUGGCGGCGUGCUUAACACAUGCAAGUCGAACGGAAAGGCCCCUUUGGGGGUACUCGAGUGGCGAACGGGUGAGUAACACGUGAGUAACCUGCCCUUGACUUCGGGAUAACUUCAGGAAACUGGGGCUAAUACCGGAUAGGAAUCCUUGCUGCAUGGUGGGGGUUGGAAAGCUUCGGCGGUUUUGGAUGGACUCGCGGCUUAUCAGCUUGUUGGUGGGGUAGUGGCUUACCAAGGCUUUGACGGGUAGCCGGCCUGAGAGGGCGACCGGCCACAUUGGGACUGAGAUACGGCCCAGACUCCUACGGGAGGCAGAAGUGGGGAAUAUUGCACAAUGGGCGGAAGCCUGAUGCAGCAACGCCGCGGGCGGGAUGACGGCCUUCGGGUUGUAAACCGCUUUCAGCAGGGGCGAAGCUUGUGGUGACGGUACCUGCAGAAGAAGCACCGGCUAACUACGUG
rnacentral:rRNA from 1 species